ACCCCAUUUAAUUAAGCCGGCCAGGUCAAUGUCUGAGUGUUGUCAUGGUGUGCUAAGGAUGGGAACAUUAAUUAUACGAGUGUGUGUAUGGUUUCAAACUUUAUGUUUGUCAUCCAAAGGGUUAUCUCGUACA